CGCAAGCAGUAGUAACCAUGUAGAUGCUUGAAAGAGCCAAUGCAUCGCUAUAGAUGGACCUGCUUGUAUUAGCUAGUAGGUAGGGUAAGGCCUACCUAGGCAACGAUACAUAGCCGACCUGAGAGGGUGAUCGGCCACACUGGGACUGAGACACGGCCCAGACUCCUACGGGAGGCAGCAGUAGGGAAUCUUCGGCAAUGGGGGGAAUCCUGACCGAGCAACGCCGCGUGAGUGAAGAAGGUUUUCGGAUCGUAAAGCUCUGUUGUUAAGGAAGAACGAGUGUGAGAAUGGAAAGUUCAUACUGUGACGGUACUUAACCAGAAAGGGACGGCUAACUACGUGCCAGCAGCCGCGGUAAUACGUAGGUCCCGAGCGUUGUCCGGAUUUAUUGGGCGUAAAGCGAGCGCAGGCGGUUAGAAAAGUCUGAAGUGAAAGGCAGUGGCUCAACCAUUGUAGGCUUUGGAAACUGUUUAACUUGAGUGCAGAAGGGGAGAGUGGAAUUCCAUGUGUAGCGGUGAAAUGCGUAGAUAUAUGGAGGAACACCGGUGGCGAAAGCGGCUCUCUGGUCUGUAACUGACGCUGAGGCUCGAAAGCGUGGGGAGCGAACAGGAUUAGAUACCCUGGUAGUCCACGCCGUAAACGAUGAGUGCUAGGUGUUAGGUCCUUUCCGGGACUUAGUGCCGUAGCUAACGCAUUAAGCACUCCGCCUGGGAGUACGACCGCAAGGUUG
rnacentral:rRNA from 1 species